AGACCGAUAGCGAACAAGUAGAGUGAUCGAAAGAUGAAAAGCACUUUGAAAAGAGGGUUAAAUAGCACGUGAAAUUGUUGAAAGGGAAGCGCUUGUGACCAGACUUGCGCCGGGCAGAUCAUCCGGUGUUCUCACCGGUGCACUCUGCCCGGCUCAGGCCAGCAUCGGUUCUCGCGGGGGGAUAAAGGCCCUGGGAACGUAGCUCCUCCGGGAGUGUUAUAGCCCGGGGCGUAAUGCCCUCGCGGGGACCGAGGUUCGCGCAUCUGCAAGGAUGCUGGCGUAAUGGUCAUCAGCGACCCGUCUUGAAACACGGACCAAGA
rnacentral:rRNA from 1 species